UUGCGAUUCUCGAAGCGACGAGCGACGUUCGCGCCCAUUUCGCCGUCCACUUCCUCGUCGCGGCUGUGCUCGUUUCGUGCGGAGUUUUUUUCUGUGGUUUUAGUGUGUAAAAUUCGCGUUGAUGUUGUCAAAUACGUGUUUUCGGCGAGACAAACGGUGCGGCAAAUCGAGCAGAUACAAUUGAGUGGAACAGCGUGGACAUCGGGACGAAAAAAAAUGAUUCACGAGUUGGUCAUAGCUAUAGGCAUGUAAAUUCAAGGCUCGCUGUUGCAUCUACUAAGACAUUGCUGCGCUUGCUCCAUUGUAAUGAGAAUAUCACGCGCGUUGCGAGCGCGAGUGCAUAUACUGCGACCAGUGAAGGAGGGGCUAUAUGGAGAAUGCAUGUUCCAGAAAUGCAGCAGCAACCGUUGAAAACCGAGCACGAUGAAACGACCGUGAGAAAAUGCAUGACGAAACAACCCUAAUCGCGUUGACGCGGGUAGCGCGCGGAAUUUCCGAUGCUACCCCGUCGUGCUACCAGGGGGAUGAAUUAAUACUGACGCGCGAAACGAGCCUUAAUAGCGUUACGCGUGAUUGCGACGUCGGGAUAAUGCGCGAAUUAUCUCCGGUCUACGCUUCAUCGGUGUUUAACCGCGUUUCUUUCGCGAAGAAAUACGGUAUUGUGGCGAAACGUGUAUUA